rnacentral:rRNA from 1 species
GGGUAGGGGAGCUUCCCAUACGGGUUGAAGCAUGACCGUAAGGACAUGUGGACAGUAUGGGAGUGAGAAUGUUGGCAUGAGUAGCGAGAUGUGGGUGAGAAUCCCACAGGCCGUAAACCCAAGGUUUCCAGGGGAAGGUUCGUCCGCCCUGGGUUAGUCGGGACCUAAGCUGAGGCCGAAAGGCGUAGGUGAUGGACAACAGGUUGAUAUUCCUGUACUACCGAUAACCGGUUGAGAGAAGGGAUGACACAGUAGGAUAAGCUAAGCACACUGUUGGUUAUGUGUGCCCAAGCAUUGAGGCAGUCAAAGUAGGCAAAUCCGCUUUGAUAAUGCUGGGAUGUGAUGGGGAGCGAAAUUUAGUAGCGAAGUAGCUGAUUUCACACUGUCAAGAAAAGUCUCUAUCGAGGUUAAAGGUACCCGUACCGCAAACCGACACAGGUGGGUGAGGAGAGUAUCCUAAGGCCAGCGAGAGAACUGUUGUUAAGGAACUCGGCAAAAUGACCCCGUAACUUAGGGAUAAGGGGUGCCACCAUCAGGUGGCCGCAGAGAAUAGGCCCAAGCGACUGUUUACCAAAAACAUAGGUUUCUGCUAAGUCGCAAGACGAUGUAUAGGAGCUGACGCCUGCCCGGUGCUGGAAGGUUAAGGGGAUCUGUUAGAGCAAUCGAAGCAGUGAACUUAAGCCCCAGUAAACGGCGGCCGUAACUAUAACGGUCCUAAGGUAGCGAAAUUCCUUGUCGGGUAAGUUCCGACCCGCACGAAAGGCGUAACGAUUUGGGCACUGUCUCAACAACAGACUCGGUGAAAUUGUAAUUCCGGUGAAGAUGCCGGAUACCUG